UACGUAGGGGGCAAGCGUUGUCCGGAUUUAUUGGGCGUAAAGAGCGUGUAGGCGGCCUGACAGGUCUGCUGUGAAAACUCGAGGCUCAACCUCGAGAUGUCGGCGGAAACCGUCUGGCUAGAGUCCGGAAGAGGAGAGUGGAAUUCCUGGUGUAGCGGUGAAAUGCGCAGAUAUCAGGAAGAACACCUAUGGCGAAGGCAGCACUCUGGGACGGUACUGACGCUGAGACGCGAAAGCGUGGGGAGCGAACAGG
rnacentral:rRNA from 1 species